AAAUAACGCUGGCGGCAUGCUUAACACAUGCAAGUCGAACGAAUAGUAGCAAUACUAUUAGUGGCAAACGGGUGAGUAACACGUAGGAAUCUCCCCUAUAGUAUGGAAUAACAGUUGGAAACGACUGCUAAUACCGUAUACGCUCCUUCGGGAGGAAAGAUUUAUCGCUAUAGGAUGAGCCUGCGCUAAAUUAGGUAGUUGGUGGGGUAAUGGCCUACCAAGCCGAUGAUUUAUAGCUGGUCUGAGAGGACGAUCAGCCACACUGGAACUUAGACACGGUCCAGACUCCUACGGGAGGCAGCAGUGAGGAAUAUUGGACAAUGGGGCGCAAGCCUGAUCCAGCAAUGCCGCGUGAAUGAUGAAGG
rnacentral:rRNA from 1 species